rnacentral:rRNA from 1 species
GACGAACGCUGGCGGCGUGCUUAACACAUGCAAGUCGAACGGAAAGGCCCUGCUUUUGUGGGGUGCUCGAGUGGCGAACGGGUGAGUAACACGUGAGUAACCUGCCCUUGACUUUGGGAUAACUUCAGGAAACUGGGGCUAAUACCGGAUAGGAGCUCCUGCUGCAUGGUGGGGGUUGGAAAGUUUCGGCGGUUGGGGAUGGACUCGCGGCUUAUCAGCUUGUUGGUGGGGUAGUGGCUUACCAAGGCUUUGACGGGUAGCCGGCCUGAAAGGGUGACCGGUCACAUUGGGACUGAGAUACGGCCCAGACUCCUACGGGAGGCAGCAGUGGGGAAUAUUGCACAAUGGGCGGAAGCCUGAUGCAGCAACGCCGCGUGCGGGAUGACGGCCUUCGGGUUGUAAACCGCUUUCGCCUGUGACGAAGCGUGAGUGACGGUAAUGGGUAAAGAAGCACCGGCUAACUACGUG